rnacentral:ncRNA from 1 species
CCCGCUGAGUUUAAGUAUAUCAAUAAGCGGAGGAAAAGAAACUUACCAGGAUUCCCCUAGUAAUGAUAAGCGAAUCGGGA